rnacentral:rRNA from 1 species
AUUGAACGCUAGCGGGAUGCUUUACACAUGCAAGUCGAACGAGUGGCGGACGGGUGAGUAAUAUACCGGAACGUGCCCAGUAGCGGGGGAUAACUACUCGAAAGAGUGGCUAAUACCGCAUACUAUUGGAACGGCCGAGAUCGGAUUAGCUAGUUGGGUGGGUAAAGGCACACCAAGGCAACGAUCCGUAGCUGGUCUGAGAGGACGACAAGCACCACUGGGACGGAGACACGGCCCGGACUCCUACGGGAGGCAGCAGUGGGGAAUUUUUGACAAUGGGAGAAACCCUGAUCCAGCCAUCCCGCGUGUAUGAGAGGGCCUUCGUGUUGUAAAGUACUUUUGGCAGAGAAGCGGUAUCUGCAGAAUAAGCACCGGCUAACUACGUGCCAGCCGCCGCGGUAAUUC